GACGAACGCUGGCGGCGUGCCUAAUACAUGCAAGUAGAACGCUGAAGGAGGAGCUUGCUCUUCUGGAUGAGUUGCGAACGGGUGAGUAACGCGUAGGUAACCUGCCUGGUAGCGGGGGAUAACUAUUGGAAACGAUAGCUAAUACCGCAUAAGAGUAGAUGUUGCAUGACAUUUACUUAAAAGGUGCAAUUGCAUCACUACCAGAUGGACCUGCGUUGUAUUAGCUAGUUGGUGGGGUAACGGCUUACCAAGGCGACGAUACAUAGCCGACCUGAGAGGGUGAUCGGCCACACUGGGACUGAGACAAGGCCCAGACUCCUACGGGAGGCAGCAGUAGGGAAGCUUCGGCAAUGGACGGAAGUCUGACCGAGCAACGCCGCGGGAGUGAAGAAGGUUUUCGGAUCGUAAAGCUCUGUUGUAAGAGAAGAACGAGUGUGAGAGUGGAAAGUUCACACUGUGACGGUAUCUUACCAGAAAGGGACGGCUAACUACGUG
rnacentral:rRNA from 1 species